UACGUAGGGUGCGAGCGUUAAUCGGAAUUACUGGGCGUAAAGCGUGCUCAGGCGGUUUGUUAAGACAGAUGUGAAAUCCCCGGGCUUAACCUGGGAACUGCAUUUGUGACUGGCAAGCUAGAGUAUGGCAGAGGGGGGUAGAAUUCCACGUGUAGCAGUGAAAUGCGUAGAGAUGUGGAGGAAUACCGAUGGCGAAGGCAGCCCCCUGGGCCAAUACUGACGCUCAGGCACGAAAGCGUGGGGAGCAAACAGG
rnacentral:rRNA from 1 species